ACUGCAGCUCAGCUCUUCCACCUCCUCUUACACACUUUAACAGCUUGACGUCAGCCUCAGCAGUGGGGCCAUCUGCCGAGCUCCAAACAUCUCAUGUUCCCGCUGAUUUCAGGAGGGCAAUUCAGACGAAAGCAGAGUUUCAGCAUAGACACAAAGGGCUGAAAACCCAGCCUUUAAAGCGGCCUUUGAUGAGCUCUGACGCAAGAGUUAAAAAUGGCCAAAGACUAUCAGUGAUAUCAGGUUGGUUUCCCCAGCCACAUGCCAGGUUGGCUUCUGCAAAGUCCAGAACAGGACACCCCCAGCAGCUGCCCCAAAGACUGCGCACACCAUCAGCAGCCAUAAGAAACAAGUACUUGACUGGAGAACAACCCUGUAAGGCUAAGGCCUCAUCUCAUGCUGCUCUGCUCAGCAGCGAUGGUACACGGAAACAGGAAGUGGAGGCAGGAGGGCUGGCAGGACUUUCUACCAUCUGCCACCACGACACAGGGAUGCCAAGAGCAGUACAGCCCCAAGACCACAGUCACCCAGUGCAGGCUGUCCACCGUGCCACCUCCUGGCUGUGCUGCAGAGGGCAAAGUGAGGGCAGCAGCUGUGCACAGCUAAGCACCACAGACUGGCUUGUCCUCAUUCCCUGCAGGGCUGCAGAAAGUGAACCAAGAAAGGCAGAGUCGAAACUAAAGCCCAGCGUGCUGCGGCACUCUCCUAAGUCAGCAUUUUUCAGAAUCUAUUAAAGCUUGAGAUUCCAGCUUUCAAUUUCUGUCACAGCUCCAAGGUCUGCGGACAGAAAGCCGCUCAGCUGAAGUAUAUUUUCUCCUGCGCUUUACACUACUAAUUUUUCGUGUUUUUCAGCUGUUGAAUCAGCUUCCUCAAGGAUGUCAUUAUUUCCUGUCCUUCCUCCUCUCCACGACCCCGAACGACAGCAGCAGCCUCUCCUCCUCUCUGCCUGCCCUGUGGCAGCCCCAGGCCCUGAGAGCUGGGAGGGAGCUGCCGGUGCCAAGAGCCCGCAGCCCCCUGACCUCGGGGAAGGAGCUCUGGUCCGAGCGCCACAUGUUAGGAAUUACAGCUGCAAAGUUCCCGUAAGCUGCCGCGGGGGAAGGGCCCCAGCUCUGAUUCCUGCACAUGGCAAGGGGAACACAACCCCUCUCCAGCAGCGCUUGACUUGCAAGGCUCCAACGAGCCCGUAUCAUGCAAGACAGACCAGAAACACAGGGAAGGCCGAGGGCUCCACAGCUUCUUCACCAUGCACAAAGUUUUCCAUAACCUCAGUUUUCACAUUUCGCCUCCCGAAGGGCAGUGGUCGGCAGGCGCAGACACUCUUGGGGACCCCAGGGUCCUGCGGGACGGACCGGCUGCGGCUGAGGGAGGCCCAGGGUAUGGGGUGACCUCUCCCGGUCUCGUGCCUCCCUCGCUUGGGCCGGUUGUGAUUUGCUCCUUCCCGAGGAAUUCGUUGUCCUUGGCAGGAGCCCCGCGAGCGGCUGACGCUCCCCGCUCCCAGCGCCAAGGUGGCUUCGCUGUGUGAACCCGUGGGCUGAGCCGCCUGCACGAGGAGGCUGCUGCCUGCCCCGCUCUGCGGGAGCGGCAGGGACAGCGGGAGCACAGAGCCGGGCUGACGAGGACCACGGAGAGGUGAUGCCACGCGAGCUCGCGGCUGGACUCAAGGUUUCCUCUUCCGACACUGAAAACACUCAAGAAGGGGGGAGGAGAGGGGUAAAAUUCAAGCUGGAAUAAAGAAAAGAGAAAAAAGAAAAA